rnacentral:rRNA from 1 species
GAUGAACGCUGGCGGCGUGCCUAAUACAUGCAAGUCGAGCGAACGGACGAGAAGCUUGCUUCUCUGAUGUUAGCGGCGGACGGGUGAGUAACACGUGGAUAACCUACCUAUAAGACUGGGAUAACUUCGGGAAACCGGAGCUAAUACCGGCUGAUAUUUUGAACCGCAUGGUUCAAAAGUGAAAGACGGUCUUGCCGUCACUUAUAGAUGGAUCCGCGCUGCAUUAGCUAGUUGGUAAGGUAACGGCUUACCAAGGCAACGAUGCAUAGCCGACCUGAGAGGGUGAUCGGCCACACUGGAACUGAGACACGGUCCAGACUCCUACGGGAGGCAGCAGUAGGGAAUCUUCCGCAAUGGGCGAAAGCCUGACGGAGCAACGCCGCGUGAGUGAUGAAGGUCUUCGGAUCGUAAAACUCUGUUAUUGGGGAAGAACAUAUGUGUAAGUAACUGUGCACAUCUUGACGGUACCUAAUCAGAAAGCCACGGCUAACUACGUG